GGCGGUGUGGCGCAAUGGUAGCGUGUGGUCCUCCUAUUCUUCUCGUAAGGGUCUGAGUUCCAAGACUGAGGUUGCAGGUUCGAGUCCUGCCAUCGUCG
rnacentral:tRNA from 1 species